AUGGACUAUGGCAGAAGGUUGUUGGGUUGCCAAUAUGAGGAUUUCAGGGCUUGCGAAUAUGUGAAGUGGAUAGAUCCAAGAUGGGAUGGCCGGGCAAAGACAAUCAUUUGUGAUCUGGCUAUGAAGAACAAACUGUUGCAGGAAGAACUUGAGAAGAAGGAGGCUGAGAAGCAUUGUGAUAGGGAGAAGAAGGUCAUUGCUAGGAUUAAUAAGGAGCAAAUGAUGUGCAUACAUAGGAUUUUGGUACUUGCCAUUAGUAUGUGUGUUGGCUUGUGUGUCAUUCUGUUACCAGUAGCAGGGAAGAAUUAG
rnacentral:rRNA from 1 species